AUUGAACGCUAGCGGGAUGCUUUACACAUGCAAGUCGAACGAGUGGCAGACGGGUGAGUAAUAUAUGGGAACGUGCGCAGUAGCGGGGGAUAUCUACUCGACAGAGUGGCUAAUACCGCAUACUAUUGUAGCGGCCGAUAUCGGAUUGGCUAGUUGGUGGGGUAAAGGCUCACCAAGGCCACGAUCCGUAGCUGGUUUGAGAGGAUGACCAGCCACACUGGGACUGAGACACGGCCCAGACUCCUACGGGAGGCAGCAGUGGGGAAUAUUGGACAAUGGGGGAAAGCCUGAUGCAGCCAUCCCGCGUGUAUGAGAAGGCCUUCGGGUUGUAAAGUACUUUUGGCAGGGAAGCGGUAUCUGCAGAAUAAGCACCGGCUAACUCCGUGCCAGCAGCCGCGGUAAUAC
rnacentral:rRNA from 1 species